rnacentral:snRNA from 1 species
AUCUUUACCUGGUGCCGGGGCCUCGUUGAUCACGGAGGACGAGCCCCCAGGGUGAGACGCGGGUAAUCUCCGCGCUCGCGAUGACCCCUGCCACUACUAAAACUGGGGCAGAUGGGGCAUGCAAAUUGC